rnacentral:misc_RNA from 1 species
UGUUGACAAGAGGAUAAAUGUACAAGCUACAUAAUCAGAACAUCUUAAUUCUUGGCGAUAUGAGAGCAAGACAUACAAUACAAAGGGUACAUUAGGUCGAGGAAGACUAUUAUUUAAACUCCAAUCAAAAGAAAAUGUUGGUAACCAAUAGAAAACCAUUAUGCCCAACAGAUUAAAAAAACCUUGGGCUUCCAAGGAUGUAGGCACCUUUUGGCACUCUCCGAGUAGAAAACGGGCAGUAGAAAUUCCUUUCUCCAUAUAACACUCCCAUGAUGCUAAGAUUUUUCUACCAAGGUUCUAAACAUUGGAAUGCCAAGACUUCCCCUUCAAAAAACAUUAUUCACUGACUUCUUCUCCAGAAUCAUCUUCAUCAUCAGUAUCCUCUACAUCCUCUUCAUCAUCAUCUCCUUCCCUUAUUUUGGCAAUCUCUGCCUGCGCCCUCUCCAAAAUUUGCUUCUUCUGCAACUCCAACUCUCUCUGAAAUUCCACCCUCAUCCUCUCCAAUUCCAUCAUCUGUUCCCUCUUACUACUCUCUAUCUUCUCAUAUAUCUCCCCAAACUUCUGCACUGAAUCUGCCAACACUUUCAACCCCUUCACCCCCUCAUUUCCGCCACCCCUCUCCCCCUUCUCCUCUUCCUCUUCAUCCUCUGAUUCACAUGGACUAUCUCGCAUCUCAUCAUUCCCAUUUGCACGGUCCAAAUACACAUGCGUGUCCAUGAAUACAAAUUCUCCUGAAUCCACCCCACAAGCUAAACUAAACCCAC